AUUGAACGCUGGCGGCAGGCCUAACACAUGCAAGUCGAGCGGAUGAGUGGAGCUUGCUCCAUGAUUCAGCGGCGGACGGGUGAGUAAUGCCUAGGAAUCUGCCUGGUAGUGGGGCACAACGUUUCGAAAGGACCGCUAAUACCUCAUACGUCUUACGGGAGACAGCAGGGGCCCUUCGGGCCUUGCGCUACCAGAUGAGCCUAGGUCGGAUAAGCUAGUAGGUGAGGUAAUGGCUCACCUAGGCGACGAUCCGUAACUGGUCUGAGAGGAUGAUCAGUCACACUGGAACGGAGACACGGUCCAGACUCCUACGGGCGGCAGCAGUGGGGAAUAUUGGACAAUGGGCGAAAGCCUGAUCCAGCCAUGCCGCGUGUGUGAAGAAGGUCUUCGGAUUGUAAAGCACUUUAAGUUGGGAGGAAGGGCAGUAAGUUAAUACCUUGCUGUUUUGACGUUACCAACAGAAUAAGCACCGGCUAACUUCGUGCCAGCCGCCGCGGUAACAC
rnacentral:rRNA from 1 species